rnacentral:rRNA from 1 species
AGAGUUUGAUCCUGGCUCAGGAUGAACGCUGGCGGCGUGCCUAACACAUGCAAGUUGAGCGAUUUACUUCGGUAAAGAGCGCGGACGGGUGAGUAACGCGUGGGUAACCUACCCUGUACACACGGAUAACAUACCGAAAGGUAUGCUAAUACGGGAUAAUAUAUUUGAGAGGCAUCUCUUAAAUAUCAAAGGUGAGCCAGUACAGGAUGGACCCGCGUCUGAUUAGCUAGUUGGUAAGGUAACGGCUUACCAAGGCGACGAUCAGUAGCCGACCUGAGAGGGUGAUCGGCCACAUUGGAACUGAGACACGGUCCAAACUCCUACGGGAGGCAGCAGUGGGGAAUAUUGCACAAUGGGCGAAAGCCUGAUGCAGCAACGCCGCGUGAGUGAUGAAGGCCUUCGGGUCGUAAAACUCUGUCCUCAAGGAAGAUAAUGACGGUACUUGAGGAGGAAGCCCCGGCUAACUACGUGCCAGCAGCCGCGGUAAUACGUAGGGGGCUAGCGUUAUCCGGAUUUACUGGGCGUAAAGGGUGCGUAGGCGGUCUUUCAAGUCAGGAGUGAAAGGCUACGGCUCAACCGUAGUAAGCUCUUGAAACUGGGAGACUUGAGUGCAGGAGAGGAGAGUGGAAUUCCUAGUGUAGCGGUGAAAUGCGUAGAUAUUAGGAGGAACACCAGUUGCGAAGGCGGCUCUCUGGACUGUAACUGACGCUGAGGCACGAAAGCGUGGGGAGCAAACAGGAUUAGAUACCCUGGUAGUCCACGCUGUAAACGAUGAGUACUAGGUGUCGGGGGUUACCCCCUUCGGUGCCGCAGCUAACGCA